CUUGAGGCUUUACUCUGAGUCAUCUCUCCCUAAUGGCAAUUUUAAGGUCACUCCUGAACACGUAAAAGUUUGCCACACUGAAGAAAUGUGGACAUAUCCAUCUGCAAAAAGCCAGCUGUCCAGGAAGCAGUUCUAUUGUAAAGAGUCUACUCCUGCCUUUCAGGCAAAUAUGACCAGGGUUCUGGCUGACCAGCAGAGCUAUAAUCUUAUUCCAGCAACACCAAUAAGCAACUGGUACGUGACCAUGAGAACAGAACUUCAGUAUUGCAAGAUCAGAACACUGGCUAUCAGAAAGAUUAAUCACAAGGGCAUAUAUUGUUGCCUGAAUAUUUUAAAACCUGGCACAGAAACACCCUACCUUCCAAGAAAACUGCUUCUCAGAACAGCCAAGUAAAUCUCAGAUAAGCUAUCAACUUGACCCACCACUGAAACGUUAAUUUUUUCCAAAAUCAAAUUAAAUGAGU